rnacentral:rRNA from 1 species
UACGGGGGGAGCAAGCGUUGUUCGGAUUUACUGGGCGUAAAGGGCGCGUAGGCGGCCACCGCAAGUCGACUGUGAAAUCUCCGGGCUUAACCCGGAAAGGUCAGCCGAUACUGCGGGGCUAGAGUGCAGAAGGGGCAACUGGAAUUCUCGGUGUAGCGGUGAAAUGCGUAGAUAUCGAGAGGAACACCUGCGGCGAAGGCGGUUCUCUGGGCAUGACCUGACGCUGAGGAGCGAAAGUGUGGGGAGCGAACAGG